GUCCAAAGCGUUCACAUAUCUGCCGUUUCUCAAAAGCUGUCUUGUGUGGUAACUUCAGGAGCUCUGAAUGUCAGUUUCUCAGAUCUCCCAAGUGACUUGUCAAUGAGCAGGGCUGACAAGACAGGGCUUGUUCAAUAUUUAAGCCUUUGCAGAGGAGCUGACUAAGAACAGAGGGUGACAAGAAUGUACCCAGCAGCCAGCAUUUUAAAAGACAACAAAAUGGUUCACCAUGGUGAAAAGUCAACAGGUCCAGGAGAGUGCCAUCUUCCUAGAAAUCGAUUUUGGCGACUAAAGACACGCAGACGGUCCAACAGUGUCAGCUUGUGCAUCUUGCCAAGUAUUCCUGAAUAUCCAGGCUUCCAGGACGUCAAGAAGAACUAUCCCAGAUGUUCCAGCGCUAACUUUGUGCUGCAGGAUGCCGGAAGAACAGCAACCUGCUUUUCUAAAGCGCAGUACAAUGACAAAAGUAGUUUUUGUGACAAAACGUUGCAAGAGUAUUUUAAUGAGAGAUUCAUGGAGCUUAGGAACUAUGAUACGAGGAAGGCCAACAGGAAGAUGAAAGCUUAUCUUGACGAGAACCAGAAGUCCAGCUUCACCAGUCGGGGAUUAAGGCGAAGAAGCAGCUGCAGUGCCGUAAUGCAGGCCAAGCUGAUAGAAGACUCUUCUGGUUCAGUAGAUCAAGCGGAUGAAAGUGUGAUGACGUGCGGCCAAGACCACAGUAGUGCUCAGAGCGUCCAGGGCGCUUAUAAGAGGAACUAUUUGGAAAGCCUGACUAUGAGCAUCAACCGUCCACUAGAAAUGCUUGUGCAGAGAAACUGACUUUGGAGCUUUCAGUAGGCACCACAUUAAUUAGGUUCCUGAAAAGGAACNGUUAGUAUGCAGCAACUUGGUUAAAAAAUAUGGAACUUUUAAAAUAGCAAUGCCACAUUUGGAGCAGAUAACACGCUUGGACUUUGCAGGAUUACGGCCCACCACAUUCUAGUGCUGUUUAUAUGCCAACAAUUUUAUUUAUUUAUUUGUACACUUGAAAGUCUCAGGGUGGGUCACAAUAAAAUCAGUAUAAAAACAGAUAAAAUAAGUUAG
rnacentral:lncRNA from 1 species